GAUGAAGAACGUAGUGAAAUGCGAUAAGUAAUGUGAAUUGAAGAAUUCAGUGAAUCAUCGAAUCUUUGAACGCACAUUGCGCCCGCCAGUAUUCUGGCGGGCAUGCCUGUUCGAGCGUCAUUUCAACCAUCAAGCCCCCGGCUUGUGUUGGGGACCUGCGGCUGCCGCAGGCCCUGAAAAGCAGUGGCGGGCUCGCUGUCACACCGAGCGUAGUAGCAUACAUCUCGCUCUGGGCGUGCUGCGGGUUCCGGCCGUUAAACCACCUUCAUAACCCAAGGUUGACCUCGGAUCAGGUAGGAAGACCCGCUGAACUUAAGCAUAUCAAUAAGCGGAGGA
rnacentral:misc_RNA from 1 species